GACGAACGCUGGCGGCGUGCUUAACACAUGCAAGUCGAACGAUGAAGCUCUAGCUUGCUGGGGUGGAUUAGUGGCGAACGGGUGAGUAACACGUGAGUAACCUGCCCUUUACUUCGGGAUAAGCUUGGGAAACUGGGUCUAAUACCGGAUAUUCUGCGUGAUCGGAUGGUUGUGUAGGAAAGAUUUUUUGGUAAGGGAUGGGCUCGCGGCCUAUCAGUUUGUUGGUGGGGUGAUGGCCUACCAAGACGACGACGGGUAGCCGGCCUGAGAGGGCGACCGGCCACACUGGGACUGAGACACGGCCCAGACUCCUACGGGAGGCAGCAGUGGGGAAUAUUGCACAAUGGGGGAAACCCUGAUGCAGCGACGCCGCGUGGGGGAUGACGGCCUUCGGGUUGUAAACCUCUUUCAGUAGGGAAGAAGCGAAAGUGACGGUACCUGCAAAAGAAGUACCGGCUAACUACGUGCCAGCAGCCGCGGUAAUACGUAGGGUACUAGCCGUGUCCGGAAUUAUUGGGCGUAAGAGCUCGUAGGUGGUUUGUCGCGUCUGCUGUGGAAACGUGCCGCUUAACGGUGCGCGUGCAGUGGGUACGGGCGGACUAGAGUGCAGUAGGGGAGUCUGGAAUUCCUGGUGUAGCGGUGAAAUGCGCAGAUAUCAGGAGGAACACCGGUGGCGAAGGCGGGACUCUGGGCUGUUACUGACGCUGAGGAGCGAAAGCAUGGGGAGCGAACAGGAUUAGAUACCCUGGUAGUCCAUGCCGUAAACGUUGGGCACUAGGUGUGGGGUCCAUUCCACGGAUUCUGCGCCGUAGCUAACGCAUUAAGUGCCCCGCCUGGGGAGUACGGCCGCAAGGCUAAAACUCAAAGGAAUUGACGGGGGCCCGCACAAGCGGCGGAGCAUGCGGAUUAAUUCGAUGCAACGCGAAGAACCUUACCAAGGCUUGACAUGCACUAGACCAUCGCAGAGAUGUGGUUUUCUUUUUGACUGGUGUACAGGUGGUGCAUGGUUGUCGUCAGCUCGUGUCGUGAGAUGUUGGGUUAAGUCCCGCAACGAGCGCAACCCUCGUUCUAUGUUGCCAGCACGUGAUGGUGGGAACUCAUGGGAGACUGCCGGGGUCAACUCGGAGGAAGGUGGGGAUGACGUCAAAUCAUCAUGCCCUUUAUGUCUUGGGCUUCACGCAUGCUACAAUGGCCGGUACAGAGGGUGGCGAUACCGUGAGGUGGAGCGAAUCUCUUAAAGCCGGUCUCAGUUCGGAUCGUAGUCUGCAACUCGACUACGUGAAGUCGGAGUCGCUAGUAAUCGCAGAUCAGCAAUGCUGCGGUGAAUACGUUCCCGGGCCU
rnacentral:rRNA from 1 species